GGCUGGUCUGAGUGCAGCCAUGUUUACAACUAAUUGAUCACAGCCAGUUACAAAUUUCUUUGUUCCUUCUCACUCCCACUGCUUCACUUGACUAGCAAAA
rnacentral:Y_RNA from 1 species